rnacentral:misc_RNA from 2 species
AACGCACAUUGCGCCCCCUGGCAUUCCGGGGGGCAUGCCUGUCCGAGCGUCAUUUCUGCCCUCAAGCGCGGCUUGUGUGUUGGGCGUGGUCCCCCUGGCUUUGGCGGGGACUUGCCCGAAAGGCAGCGGCGACGUCCCGCCUAGUCCUCGAGCGUAUGGGGCUCUGUCACGCGCUCGGGAGGGACUGGUGGGCGUUGGUCACCCCUUAUUCUUUCUACGGUUGACCUCGGAUCAGGUAGGAGUUACCCGCUGAACUUAA